rnacentral:tRNA from 1 species
GUCCCCAUAGCUCAAUUGGACAGAGUGCUGGCCUCCGAAGCCAGAGGUUGCAGGUUCGACUCCUGCUGGGGACG